rnacentral:lncRNA from 1 species
AACAACUCUGCUGGGACCUUGCAAAAUUUUUCAGACAAAACAGGGACAGAUGUUCUUCCCGUGAUGGAUUAAUAUGUCACUCAAAACGGACCAUAUACAGGUAUGACCAAGAGAGAUGGUCAUAUUCAUUGAAAUUAAUAUGUCACUCAAAACGGACCAUACAUUAAAUACUGUCACAGAGGGGCUUGUUAAUUUGUCUAAGUAGAUCUGGGUCAUGAUGUAACCAAACUCUUGACUUG